ensembl:lncRNA
AUAUAGUUCCCUGUGCUAUACAGUAGGUCCUUUUUUUGUUUGUUUUGUUUUGUUUUUGCUGCAAAAAGCUUUAUUGUUUCCAUUUGGUCCAAGGCUUGAGAGAGGGCUCCAGGGUGUUAAAAAGCUGCCUAGUGGCUGCAGAGAGGGGCUUCAGGCAGCCCUGAUGUUAGGUGGGUUCUUCAAUGGCCACUGGUCUCCAGAAGCUCCUAGUCGUGCUUGAGGGUGAGCCUUUCGAAGAGAUACUCGCCCAACCCAGCCUGGGGGCCAGCCAGCCUGCGGAGGUUGGUCAGGUGGUCACCCAUCUUCUUGAUGAGUUUCACUUCCUCAUCUAGGAAGUGGUUCUCCAGGAAGUCACAGAUGUGGGGGUCUCCGCGGGCAGAAGCCAGGCCAUGCAGAUCCAACAGGGCUUGACUCAGGUUCUUCUCUACGAGAAGGGCGGCUUCCAUAGCGUCCUGGGUUUUACCCCACUCAUCUUGAGAUGGCUUCUGUACGUCCAGGAAGAGGGCGCGGCCGCCAUACUGGUUUUGCAGUUUCAAGAGUCACUCUGCGCCCUCGUGCUUCUCCUUGGCCAAUUCGCGGAAAAAGUGACCCACACCCUCCAGGGCCACAUCGUCGCGGUCGAAAUAGAAGCCCAGACAGAGGGAAGUGUAGGAGGCCCGCAGUUGCAUGUUAACCAGGUGGUUGACAGCCGCCUCCACCUCGGUAGAAUAAUUCCCACGAAUCUGGGAGCUCAUGAUUGGUCGGUAAUAAUAAGGAGUUAAAAAAUGGUGGCUGGUCCCGGUGAUCGCGGACAGCUCAGUGGCUGACUCCGGAAGUUGCGACUGGAAAAAAGGUUGGAUGGUGGUCGGAGGCUGGAGCAAGGGGCAUCCCUGGGUCUGUUCCGUCCAAGCACUGUUGAAGCAAGAGACAGAUCCGCGGGGCCAACGAGCACACUUCCUAUACAGUAGGUCCUUGUUGUUUAAUGUUUUAUAUACAGUAAUGUGUAUAUGUUAAUCCCAAACUCCUAAAUUAUCCCUUCUUCCCCUUUCCUUUCCCUUUGAUAACUCUAAGUUUAUUACUUCAUUUAGGAUGAUAAUCUCUAGGUUCAUCCAUGUUGCUGUAAAUGGCAUUAUAUCAUUCUUUUUAAUGGCUAAUAUUCCUGUGUGUGUGUGUGUAUGUGUAUACCACACCUUCUUUACCCAGCUUCCCCAGUGGCUCAGUAGUAAAAGAAUCCACCUGCAGGAGACACUCAGGGGACCCAGGUUUAAUCCCUGGGUUGGAAGGAAUUGGAGAAGGAAAUGGCAA